AUUGAACGCUGGCGGCAGGCCUAACACAUGCAAGUCGAGCGGAUGAAGGGAGCUUGCUCCUGGAUUCAGCGGCGGACGGGUGAGUAAUGCCUAGGAAUCUGCCUGGUAGUGGGGGAUAACGUCCGGAAACGGGCGCUAAUACCGCAUACGUCCUGAGGGAGAAAGUGGGGGAUCUUCGGACCUCACGCUAUCAGAUGAGCCUAGGUCGGAUUAGCUAGUUGGUGGGGUAAAGGCCUACCAAGGCGACGAUCCGUAACUGGUCUGAGAGGAUGAUCAGUCACACUGGAACUGAGACACGGUCCAGACUCCUACGGGAGGCAGCAGUGGGGAAUAUUGGACAAUGGGCGAAAGCCUGAUCCAGCCAUGCCGCGUGUGUGAAGAAGGUCUUCGGAUUGUAAAGCACUUUAAGUUGGGAGGAAGGGCAGUAAGUGAAUACCUUGCUGUUUUGACGGUACCAAAAGAGUAAGCACCGGCUAACUACGUG
rnacentral:rRNA from 1 species